rnacentral:rRNA from 1 species
CUAUACAUGCAGUCGAGCGAACAGACGAGGAGCUUGCUCCUUUGACGUUAGCGGCGGACGGGUGAGUAACACGUAGGUAACCUACCUAUAAGACUGGGAUAACUUCGGGAAACCGGAGCUAAUACCGGAUAAUAUUUCGAACCGCAUGGUUCGAUAGUGAAAGAUGGCUUUGCUAUCACUUAUAGAUGGACCUGCGCCGUAUUAGCUAGUUGGUAAGGUAACGGCUUACCAAGGCAACGAUACGUAGCCGACCUGAGAGGGUGAUCGGCCACACUGGAACUGAGACACGGUCCAGACUCCUACGGGAGGCAGCAGUAGGGAAUCUUCCGCAAUGGGCGAAAGCCUGACGGAGCAACGCCGCGUGAGUGAUGAAGGUCUUCGGAUCGUAAAACUCUGUUAUUAGGGAAGAACAAACGUGUAAGUAACUGUGCACGUCUUGACGGUACCUAAUCAGAAAGCCACGGCUAACUACGUGCCAGCAGCGCCGGUAAUAA